CUGAGUUAAUCCUUGUGAUUGGUGAUAGAAUAAAUGAUUUUCUCUAUUUAACAGAUGGAGAAAGUUACCAUAAGAACUUAAAUGACUUGAUCAUGAUCAUACAUAUGGCAAAGAUGGGACUAUAAAACAGUCAUGCCCCAAUUGAUGGACACCCCUUCAAUUUCCAGUUGCUUGCCACCACAAAAAGGAGCUGUCAUAAAUAUUUUUGGUCAGGAAUCCAGGGAGAGCACACAUUUGGGAAAAUCAGGAAAAUAGAGGCACUUCUAUCCAGAGACUGGGAAAAAGCUCCUUCCACUUCCAGGGCCAAGAAGAAAGUGCUAGUCACAAUACCAACUGCCACUCCCAGUUGCCCCUCCCCCCACCAACUGUCAGUCUUGUCAAUAUCAUCUCUCUAAUAUUCCCACUUUUGUUUGUUCCAACUAUAUGGCAGAAAGUCCAGAACUUGUUUUAGUUUUCCUUUCCACAAUUAUUCUUGUAUGUUUGGUCUGCUUUGUUUUACAACAUGGAUAAUACGAAAAGGUUUUGCAUGACUGUAUGUGUACAAUCUUUAUCACAUUUCUUGCCUCCUCAUGAAAGAGAGAGGGGAAAGAGGAAAGCAGAGAAUUUGAACUCAGAUUAAAAAAAAAAAUUAACAGGAAAAAUUUAUUUACUUGUAUUUGAGAAAAAUAAAAUUAAGUGUAAAAAAAUCUAUUCA
rnacentral:lncRNA from 1 species